rnacentral:rRNA from 1 species
AAAGGAAGCAAUUCCGGUGACGGAUGGGCAUGCGUCGCAUUAGCUAGUCGGCGGGGUAACGGCCCACCGAGGCGACGAUGCGUAGGGGUUCUGAGAGGAAGGCCCCCCACACUGGUACUGAGACACGGACCAGACUCCUACGGGAGGCAGCAGUGAGGAAUAUUGGUCAAUGGGCUAAGGCCUGAACCAGCCAAGUCGCGUGAGGGAAGACGGUCCUAUGGAUUGUAAACCUCUUUUGUCGGGGAGCAAACGAGGCCACGUGUGGCCGAAGUGAGAGUACCCGAAGAAAAAGCAUCGGCUAACUCCGUGCCAGCAGCCGCGGUAAUACGGAGGAUGCGAGCGUUAUCCGGAUUUAUUGGGUUUAAAGGGUGCGUAGGCGGAACAUUAAGUCAGCGGUAAAAUCGAGGGGCUCAACCCCUUUAAGCCGUUGAAACUGGUGAUCUUGAGUGGGCGAGAAGUAUGCGGAAUGCGUGGUGUAGCGGUGAAAUGCAUAGAUAUCACGCAGAACUCCGAUUGCGAAGGCAGCAUACCGGCGCCCGACUGACGCUGAGGCACGAAAGCGUGGGGAUCGAACAGGAUUAGAUACCCUGGUAGUCCACGCAGUAAACGAAGAGUACUAACUGUCCGGG